rnacentral:rRNA from 1 species
CUCUCGGCAACGGAUAUCUUGGCUCUCGCAUCGAUGAAGAACGUAGCGAAAUGCGAUACUUGGUGUGAAUUGCAGAAUCCCGUGAACCAUCGAGUUUUUGAACGCAAGUUGCGCCCGAUCCUUUGGGUAAGGGCACGUCUGCCUGGGCGUCACG